rnacentral:rRNA from 1 species
UAAGGAAUAUUGGUCAAUGGGCGGAAGCCUGAACCAGCCAUGCCGCGUGCAGGAAGACUGCCCUACGGGUUGUAAACUGCUUUUGUACCGGAAUAAACCUUGAUUCGUGAAUCAAGCUGAAUGUACGGUAAGAAUAAGGAUCGGCUAACUCCGUG